UACGUAGGGUGCGAGCGUUGUCCGGAAUUACUGGGCGUAAAGAGCUCGUAGGUGGUUUGUCGCGUUGUUCGUGAAAACUCACAGCUCAACUGUGGGCGUGCGGGCGAUACGGGCAGACUGGAGUACUGCAGGGGAGACUGGAAUUCCUGGUGUAGCGGUGGAAUGCGCAGGAUAUCAGGAGGAACACCGGUGGCGAAGGCGGGUCUCUGGGCAGUAACUGACGCUGAGGAGCGAAAGCGUGGGGAGCGAACAGG
rnacentral:rRNA from 1 species